GACGAACGCUGGCGGCGUGCCUAAUACAUGCAAGUCGAACGCAGUGGGGACGGGUGAGUAACAUGUGGGUAACCUCCCAUCAGAGGGGAUAAAACUUGGAAAAAGGUGCUAAACCGAUACUGAUGGAUGGUCCCGCUGUGCAUUAGCUAGUGGGGGAGGUGACGGCCCACCAAGGCCACGAUGCAUAGCUGCGCUGAGAGGGUGAUCGGCCACACUGUGACUGAGACACUGCCCAGACUCAUACGGGAGGCAGCAGUAGGGAAGAUUCGGCAAUGGACGAAAGUCUGACCGAGCAACGCCGCGUGAAUGAAGAAGGUGUUCGGAUCGUAAAACUCUGUUGGUAGAGAAGCGGUAUCUAACCAGAAAGCCACGGCUAACUACGUGCCAGCAGCCGCGGUAAUUC
rnacentral:rRNA from 1 species